CUUACAGGUGAAUGACCUUGCAGGAGCGGGGUAGAAUAACACACCUUACAGGUGGCAAUGACUCCAGGAACAGGUGUAGAAUAUACACCUUACAGGUGAAUGACCUCCAGGUAGAAUAUACACCUUACAGGUGAAUGACCUCCAGGAACAGGGUUUAGAAAUAUACACUUACAGGUGAAGACCUCCAGGUAGAAUAUACACCUUACAGGUGACUGACCUCAGGAACAGGGUUAGAAUAUACCACCUUACAGGUGAAUGACCUCCACUGUAGAAUAUAACCUUACA
rnacentral:lncRNA from 1 species